UACUAAAUCAACUGUGAUCAGAUUGGUUAAAAAAAUAGAGGCUGCGUGUGAUUUCAGUUCCGGUUCAAUGCAUUUGUAAUGAGGGGGCGCACUUCUGUGCAGCGUGCACAUUAGUCGUCGUUGCCAGCAGGCUGCACCCGACUGCCAAGGGAUUUACAUGUGGCAUAGCAAGUCUCUGAAGCAGUGUCUCACACUCGAGUCCUGACCGAGGGCCUUGAAACUGGCAUGCCUGUUCAAAACAUCUCCAGGACAACAAGGUUAUUUUGUGUUGACGUGUAUUGAAUUCUUAAAGGC